rnacentral:lncRNA from 1 species
CCGCAAACCAGUCUAUUUUUUUUCAUGGCGCCGCACUAGCAAUUAGUGGAGAAGUGAAAUAAACUGCUAUAGGAAAAUGUGCGUGUCAGGUUCUCGAACUAACAAACGCCGAAAUUUUGUCGGUCGCCAUUUUGUUACAAAUUAGCGGCAGAUUUGAAUGAAUUUCCCAACGCGUUUUUCAAUUGUAUGGACAUAUUCUCCAAGUGUAAACAUUUUUUACAUAAUUCAUAAAAGGAACCUGCUGAACGUCUUGCAGGUCUGUCAAACUCGUCGCCUAGCUGCUUCAAUGUGAUGCUAUACAAAACUGCACGCAUCUUCACAUCAGCACAAAGAAUGGCUUGCUUUGAAAGUCCAUAGAUGACCAUGAAGACCAUCUUGAACGUACACAUGGAUGGUAGACGUAUCCAGCCUGGUCUAACCUUCCACAACUGUCAUUGGUUAUCAUGCCAAGCACAGGAACUACACAGGCAUGAUUUUUCUUCGACCCAGCACCACCCUGGCGGCUCAGAUGGGUGUGAUGCUCAACGCAGCAUGAUUGAUUGCCCAAAAAAACUUACAAGAUGACAUCAACAAACACCUCAAGUCGGCAGAAGUUUGUCUUUCUCAAACUGCUGGAUGUCGCUUCAGUAAGCCGUCUGUCGAAUUGCAAGCAAUCAACAUUUGACCGGAUGAGCUGCCAAGUUUCAGUCGAUUCCACUGAUUCCUGAAAGCCAACAUGAAACAGUCUGAGAUGAUCUGGAGAUCUCUCUUGCCUGGAUGUUGUGAGAUGCCAUUCAGCAACACAAAUAUCUCUUCAAAGAUACUCCCCUGUACAUCUCCAUUGGAUUUGCAUAUUGACUACAUGGACUUCACGAGCUACGACACGACCAGCAGGACUUGCACAAGACCAAAUUGACUUCCUCCAACAUAAUUUCCUGGAGUACUUCCACUCUCAAUAUCAGUGUGCCAUGAGAAUUGAAUUUUCAUUUUGCUCGACGCACAAAAUUCCUCAGAAACGUCUUGAAAAGCUGUGUUUUACUCCAAUCUGAGAAGGACUGACUUAUGAUACUACACUCGGGAUCCUGUGUACCUUCACCAGUCUCAACAAAUGUUCAGAGAACUGCCGAGAAAUGAUUGAGAGAUACCUGUUGUGCACCAGAGGACGUGAGGUCACCAUUGAACCAAUCAUGGGAGAUGUACAUCAGCUUUGAACUGACUGCCUGAGGAGUUCCAUCAAGAGCUGUCUUCUGCCAGCUGCAAAAACACUGGAUGAUUCACAUUGACUGUUGCAAUCUGGCAGAGACUUUUGAAACCUCUAUUAAAACGAACUCUUUUGGAAUGGAACUCUUUUGCAACGGAACUCUUUAGAAAUGGAACUCUUUAGAAACGGAACUCUGUUGAAACGGAACUCUUAUGAAACAGAAAACUUUUUGAAAUGGAACUUGUUUGAAAUGGAUCUCUUGUGAAAAGCAACUCUUCUGAAAUGGAACUCUAUUGCAACGGAACUCUUUUGAAAUGGACCUUUGUUGAAACGCAACUCUUAUGAAACAGAACUUUUUUGAAACGGAACUCUAUUGAACGGAACUCUUUUGAAAUGGAACUCUUGUGAAACGGAACUCUUGUGAAACGGAACUCUUUUAAAAUCGAACUCUUUUGAAAUGGAACUCUUGUGAAACAGAACUCUUUUGAAACGGAACUCUGUUGAAACAGAACUCUUAUGGGACAUAACUUUUCGGAAACGAAACUCUUUUGAAACGGAACUCUUUUGAAACGGAACUCUUUUGAAAGGACGUCUUAUAUUUUAGUAGAGGUCUCUCUCUCUCUCCUUAAGGUCACUGAAGAUCUUGAGACCCUUUAUGCAAAAUGGGUUGCCUAGGGUGACCACAUUGUGAAAAAAAUAAUGUCUAGAAACAUCAAGGCCUCUUGCAAAAAAUGCAAAAUGUCCUUUAACAGUAUACGCUUGAGAUAUGAUCCUCUUAAAUUCUUUUUGCAAAGACAAUUGUCAGCCAAAAGCCUUCAAAACGUAAUACUGUUUGGUGAUCUACAAUUGAUGGCACCAUAGCUAAGAACUCAUCAAACCACAAUUCAUGUAGUUAAAAACAUGGGGACAUGGUCCUCUAAAAUUCUUUCUGCAAAGGAACUUGUUGGCUGAAAACCUUCAAAACGUAAUAUUGUUUGGUGGAUCCACAAUUGAUGGCAUUCAUAGCCGAGAUCAGAUCAAACCACAAUUCAUAAAAAUGGAGGAGAGGCCUCUACAAAUGACACGUAACCAGCCUCUCACAGCAAUCAUUUGUUCAGGCGCAGUUCAUAAAAGUGAUUAGGCAAUGGUUUCAUUAACCAAAUUCAGUUCUAUUCAUUAGCUAAAACAGUCACUUAUUGCAAAAAACAAAAAAAUAGACAGUUUAAGCGCUGCAUUUCAAUUUCCUAAUGAUGCACUCUUUUUUGGUGCAUUUUUUAAAGAAUCAAUCAAUCAAUUUCUUGGACAAGAUUUGCUAAAACCAAGGACUGCUCAAAAUGCAGAAAUCUUCUCACAGAGAAAUGUUUAUGAGGCAAUGUUUAUAACAGAGAGAGCUGGUUACGUUUAAUUGAUAUUUUAAUCUAAAUUAUUUCUUCAUGGCAUUGCCUGAUUGGUAAUAGCUGGGUGCAAGAUUGGUUUCUCUUGAACAAAAUUCUUUAACAACAAAGUAUCUUUGCGCGCAAUUUGAACCCACUUCUUUGAACCAAACUUUCCAAAUUUACCAUAUUGAACCCAAAAUCUCUCAUCUAGACUCACAUUUUGGUUCAAAUUUAAAUCAAAAACUAUUUCUUUAGAUUCCAACAAACCUAAAUAGCUUUGCAUUAAAACUACCAACUGGAAAUACUCUGUCAAAAAUCCAAUGUGGCUAAAAAGUACAACAAAUUAACGUUUUGUUUUUAUAUCUUCAAAUUUGUCUCCAGAAAUGAGUUUUCAAAAUCCUUGAUGCAUUUUCCAGUACAUCAUAACUUAGCUACCUACUAUCAGCAGCCAUGCCAAUCUUGUACCCAGCUUUUGUUUAUCAAGUAUAGUCAGCACUGGUCCAAUGUAUUAAGACAAAGUUUGGCAGUGAAUGAAAAAUAUUGGCGUUAAUCACACAUUUACUAAAAAGUUGCAAACUGCGCAUUUCAAAGCGAAAACACUCACAAAAAUAACUGCAUUUUACAAACUUGACAGCUUACUACACGAAGUUGUUUUUUCAUGUGCGCGCAUGUUGAUUACUUCAAGAAAGCAGUUUUGACUUGUUCAUUUGUCAAGCAAUACAAAACAAAUGCUAACCACUGUUCAUUACUUACUGAGUGCCAAUGAUCAAAACUUUAUCUUCAUCCUACAAAGUACAGAACAAAUGAUGCUUCUAGUGCUGGCUAUACAUUUACAAAUGUACAUGCAAAAUCUGUUAUGAUAAUUUGUUGAGUAACCAACCAAUAUACUUGACGUUUAACCAACAGGCAAUGUAAUGAUAUGCUCGAGCCCAACGCAUGCAAGUCCCCCCGGGGCGUGCAUGUGCGGUGUUCCCCGCCCGCAGAUGCCGGCUUGUCUGGUGGGUCGUCCCUAUCUGCAUUGGCGAGUGGUCAGUUGUUCAAGGUGUGUGCUAACUUCCUGAGCUUGUGGUCUGGAUAAUCGUGGAUGACUUGGUUGACUUCAACAUGGUAAGGAUCCUUUUGAACUUUGACAAUCAGUUUGCCUUUCUGCAAAGAGAUGUCUUUUUGGCUGUUUCUUUACCGAGUGUUGCUGUGGAAAUUAUGUACCAUCUAUCAAUCUGGAGAUUGCAAAUCUAGAGAUCAAUCGAGCAUCUACUCUUGAUGUCCUGCUUGCAUUUCAAUAGUUCCAUGGCAUCAUGUUGAUCCAAAUGAUCUGCUAACAAAUGGGUACUGUUGCUGGUAUAUCUGAUGUUCUUCAAUGCGGUUUGAUUUUCGGACAGGUGUUUCAGCCGCUAUUUAUGUGAAUAACUUCCAUGGUAUAACUCUGAAAUCUCAUUGCCUUUUAUUGUGUCAUCAUGUACAAUCAGUUCUCUCAUAGAGUGUGUUCAAAUCUAAGACAUGCACGGAUAAAAAUAAGGAAAUAUCAAAGGAAAUCCGUUAAAAUGAACUGAAUCAAAUGUCAAAUCUGCUCUAAAUUCAGCAUCUGAUGUAUCACUUAAAAAAAUGAGUUUGCAAAUAAUAUAUGUGUUUUUGGCAGCAUACGAAUCUUAACUUGAUAAACAUAAGCAAGUGAUUUACAAAAUUCCCAAAUUCAAAAAAAGGCAGCUUCCCUGCCUGAAAUAUUCAAAAUGUGAAAUGUUUGUGUCUUAAAAAAAAAAAAAAAAAAAACUGAAGAAGAAAAAAAUCCUCACUUCAAAGCAACUUUUAAAGAGACUUUAAAAAUUCAAACGCUCUUAUAAAAACCCAAAGGAAACAAAUCUCAUUAUAAAAUUCAAAAAGCAAUGAAUGGGCUAUUGCCAUCAUAUUUAUCCUCAAAACUGCACUACAAAACAAAACAAUGGAGUGAAAAUUUUAAGAAAUGUUGAGAAAAAGGAGAGAAGGCCAAACUCUUCAAAUUGUAGGGGAGAAGUCCUGGUGUGCAGAGGGGGAGAACCAUGCUGCUUCCUGGCCAGAUGGAAGAUGUGGUGGACAACAAGGCCCCCUGCAUCCUAACAUAUAGAAGCUGUGGUGUCAGACACAGGGAGCCAGUCCUGCCAGAUGGAUCCAUGGUAAGUUUAAUUGAAGUUUUCUAGAAUGAAUUCAUGCACUGUGUACAUCCUCAUUGCUUGCUAAACCCAACGGUAAAAUGUGUAUCUCAUGGCUAGGAGUAAACGCUAUCUGUCUGCAUUACAGGAAAACAGUAUUGUGCAUUAUAGUCUUCAGUCUGUGGCAAUACCAAUUAGCCUCAAUCUGGCACUUGUGAAAAUAAAGUAAGAGAAACAAAAAGUCUGCUAUUUGUCAUCUGCAAUCAAAAUUGGAUCAAGGCAUUGACGUCACAAAUCUAGGCACUGGUCAGUCCUCAUACAAUUGUGAUAUUGCUGAAGAGAUGUCAAUAUUUUUCUUAUGAGUGUCCAUUAAGUUCUACAAUUGUACAGAGAUGCAGCCAUUUCAUUGGUGCGCAAACAUCUCACUCAAUCUCGGCAAACUUUUUGGACUCGACACUCACUGCAAGCACUCAACGUGCUGCUACUCAACUCAUGGUCAAAUGUUCUGACCUCUGCACUCCAAUCCUAUGAUUGGAUAAAACCUUGGGCUUGAGCAAUCACUGCAGCCUCCCAUAGAUUCAUCACCUACCUGAUAGGUGGUUGCAUGGGGGAAUCCCCUACCAGGUCUGUUUAAAAGGACCUUUUGUGAUCACAACUGUGUGAUCUGAUCUGCUCACUUGUCUGCAGUGAAAACCAUAUCAAAGUGUGCUCUUGAGCAAUUUGAAAUUAAGAUGCACUUUUAAAAAAGCCUUGGAAAUCUACGCUUGCAACAAAAGCAAUUCCAUCUUCAUGAUUGACACAGAUUCAACUGAAAAAAACUACUAAAGCAAAGCUCAUGAAAAGCUAAAAUAAAUGUCAUGCCUUGUAUCGACAUGUUUUUCUGUAUGCAAAGCAUUUGUUAAAAGAAGAAGACAUUUAACUUUGAAUGUCUUCAGGGUCCUGGAAGAUCUUCACCUUAAGUCUGGCCUGUCACAUCUUUGAGAUUUUCAAUUGAAUUUAUUCUUAUUGACCAGCUUGUACUAUAGUGCACUACCUUGGAGAAGAAAAUUUGUCAUUGUACACUACCUUUCGGAAGAAAGUUAUCAUAAAUGCACUUAAGAUUGUACCUGUAAAUGUACAUUGUUCGUACAAUGUCUCGUCAAAGAGCAGCAAUUGAAUCUUAGUAUGAUUGUAAAACUUCCUGCAAAGAAGUCAAAUCACUGAGUAGAUUUUGCAAAAAACUCAAUCUGGUCUGAGUUGGACCACCUGCCAAGAAACAAAUCCUGAACUGUUUUGUGCAUCUUUGAGAGGUUGCUGAAACCAAUCUGACAUUGAAAUUAAUUUAUCUUGUCACACCAGCAGAGGACUUCAAUUUAUUUCUCACUAUCUGGUUUGACUCAUGACUUUGUCAAAAUAAAAAGUGCAAAAUGAUAUCGCACUUUGCAUCAAACUGACACACUUGAAUCUAAUUUUAACUCGACCAAAACUGAAAUUCUAGUAAUACGGCUUUUGGGGCCUAACGGUAGGGUGCCAUUUGUUAAAUAAGGUGAAGAUCUUUCAGGACACAUGUUGGUAUUGCCACAGACUGAAGACUAGCUAUGCUCCAUGCUUUAACCCUUUAGUGACCACACUUCUCUCAGUGUACUAUGUUUGCCAAGUGCAUUUUCCAGACUGAAGACAGUGGUUUUGUGAAUUGGGACUUAUUUGAAUGCUAAACCAACUGAAAAAAAAAAACCUGUUGAAAAUGCAGUUCUUAUUCCAGGCAAAUUUUGCGAGCUGGGAUUUUUUUUUCACAUACCAAAAUAGCUAACCAGCGAAAUAAACAAACAAAAAACGUUGGUCCUCCUUUGCCACUAUGGGCAAUUCAGUUCUCGCUGCCUCUGGCGGCUAAGGUCACUAAAGGGUUAAAAAGAAAAGUCAAAGGUUUAUGAGUCAUUAUUCGGGUCAAGUUUAGAUUCCGUUGAGUACUAAGAGGGCUGCACGAGCAUACAAAUGUAGGGCAGUUUUCUAAGCAAAUAUGCAAUCUCUUCAAGUCUCUUUAAUAUUGAUCAAAGUACUCUUAGUAUUUUCAUUUGGUAUGAAAAAGCUAAAAGACAAUAUAAAAAAUUCUGUUAAAGGUAAACUUCAUCGAAGCUCUUUAAUUCAAAAUUGUAGUGAAUUAAUACGUCACAGAGUUUGAAUGCAUUUAAAAGAAUUGAGCCUAGAGUGUAGCAUCUGAAAAACAUUUUUUACUGUCACAUAUAAUAAUUCAUUGCAUUUCCUGUCAAUACUGUAAAGACCAUCUCUGAGAAAAUUAUUUUAAUGAAGUGAAUUAAACGUGACGGGAUAAUUAAACAAAAUUGUACAUAGGGUCAAAAUCUGGCAAAUAAAAUAGAUAACCAAAUGAUAAAUGUAGGUGCCUAAUUACAAAACAAAUUAAAAUGUUGAACCCUUCACAUAAUGUUUAGUAGAUGCCUUUGACAUGACUGAAUUAAGGAGUAAAUAAACUCUUAAACAAUCAAGUCAGGACAGCUCAGUAUAAUAAAAUGAAAUUGGAAAACUUGUACAUUUUCUUAGCCAACUAAAUAACAUUACGGUUCAAGUCAGUGGAAUAAUUUAAAGGAAAAUAGUCAGCCCACUAGGAAAAAACAAAGUGAUUCAAAAUAAAUGAACUGGAUAGCCAACUUGGACAGGCACAUUAAUUUUUUCCCGAAUAUUUUUUUGCAAGGAGGCAUUAUUACAAUGUUCCUAACUUCAUGCCUAAAUUUGCUGAGGUAACAGGAGAUCUGAAAUAACUAGGACUUGGCGAUUUUGUUGACAUCCCUUGCUUUGGAACUCAGUUGUAGGUACACCAGGCUCUGUGCAACUGCAAGAGGGAAACAUUUAUAACAUUGUCCCAAGAAAGACAUGUUUAGCCUGUAAAAUUAGUACUUUUUAAAGCGUUUCAAAAGUGAAAGGUCGGUCUUGUCUUAUAGGUUGUAAGGGGCGGGUCCCAGGAUAAAUCUUAACACGAAUGGCAGUUUCGCUGAUGACAAAAUGCAUACUUUGAAAGAGCCUUAUUUUGAAAUUCUGCUCUUUUGUUGACUAACUUAACUUGCAACUCACUUGGCAAAAAACAACCGUGUCAAUCCUUCUGAUACGCAGUCAUCUUGAUUCUAAAGCUUGGCAGUAGGUGUUCCAUGUUCAAAUCCUGCAGGAAUGCUCAAUUUUGUUUGCGAAACAAAAUGGUUGGUCUAGUUCAAUUGCUAAACAAAGUGCAGAUAAAGUGAGUGUAAUUUUCAAUCCAAUCCGUUUUGGUCAGUCGAGAAACCAAGAAAAUAUUUGGCCCAGUUUUGCAUGCUGCAUGAAUAAACAUCACUGAAAUUCCUUCUGAGUCAUGUAGCAAGUGUCUCAGAAACUGCCAUUAAUUUGUCCUGGGGCCUGCCUAGGUUUGCAUGUGAGCAUAAAUGUGCAAUAUCUGUUGUAAUGUGGACUUAUAGCAGUACAGGGCGAGUCAAAAAGAAUGUGACCAAAUUGGAAAAAAAAAUGCUUUUAAAAUACGUCACUCGCUCCAUUUUCGAAAAACAAAAAUGGUAUUGACUAGUAACUGAAAGUUUCACGCAAUUUGCGAACUCUACUCCCAAGUUACGUCUAUUUUUAACAAAAAGAUCAUAAAAAUCAGCUGUCCACCACUGAUCAUUUACUAUUCUACGAACUGAUGAAUAUGCAUUUAAUACAAUGAAACAUGGACGUUUUCCCACUUCCAUGAAUAACAAAAAUUUGCCCCAAAAAAGGGCAAAACUCACUCAGCACUAUUUUGGAAAAUAAAAGAAUUAAAUUGUUUCUCAGAUUCAAAACACAAAAUCUGACAGAAAAACAUAAUGUUUCAGUCUUGACUAAAAUGAUCGAAAUCUCAUUUGUAUUUGAAUGCCUGUGCGUAAUCUGUAAUUCUCACUCGGUUCAAAAGCUUCCAAUGGCAUUAAUGGACAGCUAUCAAAAUAGGUUCUUCUGAUAGCCUGGAUCAAGUUCAGUAAUUCAGACGUAUUUCAUUGAUGUAUCAACUUUGAUUACUUUUUAAGAAAAUACAUUUGUUAAUUUAGGUCACUUUCUUUUUGACUCGCCCUGUAUGUUUACUCUGAAUGCCAUGAUACACAUGUGGGUUUAGCAAGCAAAACAGAUGAGGAUGUAUGUUGUCAUUGUACAGUGCAUGAAUUAAUGAAAACUUCAAUUAAACUUGACCAUGGAUGGCCAUGGCGGGACAAGGCUGUCCCUGUGUCAUGAUGAUGCCACAGCUUCUGAGGAUGCUGAGGGGCAGAUUGCCACCACAUCAACAGUGGCGUAGCUAGAAUGAAGGAGGGGCCACAA